AGGGAUGUAGCGCAGAUAGGUAGCGCGUUUGUUUAGGGAACAAAAGGACGCAGGUUCAAAUCCUGUCAUCCCUA
rfam:Selaginella moellendorffii unplaced genomic scaffold SELMOscaffold_112, whole genome shotgun sequence.